UACGUAGGGGGCGAGCGUUGUCCGGAUUUAUUGGGCGUAAAGAGCGUGUAGGCGGUUCGGUAAGUCUGUCGUGAAAUCCUGAGGCUCAACCCCGAGCGUGCACCCGAUACUGCCGGGCUUGAGGCAGGUAGGGGAGAUCGGAAUUCCUGGUGUAGCGGUGAAAUGCGCAGAUAUCAGGAGGAACACCGGUGGCGAAGGCGGAUCUCUGGGCCUGUCCUGACGCUGAGGCGCGAAAGCUAGGGGAGCGAACAGG
rnacentral:rRNA from 1 species